CGGGGCGCGCCUGCUUCGGGCUCUGACUGGCGGCCAGAGCCGCCCGAGCCUGACUGCACCAGCGGCCUGAGCGCGCUUCCCGGGCCAGCUCCGCGCGCGCCGCAGUUCUCCUCUCUUCCUGCCCUUCCCGCCGGUUGCCUCCUGACCUGGGCCCGCCGCUUCCCGGCCUUAGCGGUUCGCCCUGCGCAUUCUUCCCACACGGGCGCUCGGAGCGUCUGGAUGCAGUGCUCUCGCUCCCAGGACCAGGGGCUGGACCGACGUAUUCAUUCUGAACGUAGGGCAAACAGAUCCCCUGAAAUUCCUGCCCUCAUACGUGCUUCUCACGUGAGCCUGAACUUCUUUUAAGAUUUGGUUCCCACCGAGCGGUGAAAGCAGAAGGGGCCAAUCAUUUAUAGGCGUUAAAAAUGUGAGCUAAAUACUCCGAUGCCCACGCAGAGACAGACAGAGCAUGAGAGGGGGAGAGGCAGA